rnacentral:rRNA from 1 species
UACGUAGGGGGCUAGCGUUGUUCGGAAUUACUGGGCGUAAAGCGCGCGCAGGCGGUCUUCCAAGUCAGUGGUGAAAGCCCGGAGCUCAACUCCGGAACUGCCAUUGAAACUGUUAGACUUGAGGACGAGAGAGGUGAGUGGAAUUCCCAGUGUAGAGGUGAAAUUCGUAGAUAUUGGGAAGAACACCGGUGGCGAAGGCGGCUCUCUGGACGCAACUGACGCUGAGACGCGAAAGCGUGGGGAGCAAACAGGG